GACGAACGCUGGCGGCGUGCCUAAUACAUGCAAGUAGAACGCUGAAGCGAGGAGCUUGCUCUUCUUGGAUGAGUUGCGAACGGGUGAGUAACGCGUAGGUAACCUGCCUUGUAGCGGGGGAUAACUAUUGGAAACGAUAGCUAAUACCGCAUAACAAUGGAUGACACAUGUCAUUUAUUUGAAAUGGGCAAUUUCUCCACUACAAGAUGGACCUGCGUUGUAUUAGCUAGUAGGUGAGGUAAUGGCUCACCUAGGCGACGAUACAUAGCCGACCUGAGAGGGUGAUCGGCCAAACUGGGACUGAGACACGGCCCAGACUCCUACGGGAGGCAGCAGUAGGGAAUCUUCGGCAAUGGGGGCAACCCUGACCGAGCAACGCCGCGUGAGUGAAGAAGGUUUUCGGAUCGUAAAGCUCUGUUGUAAGUCAAGAACGGGUGUGAGAGUGGAAAGUUCACACUGUGACGGUAGCUUACCAGAAAGGGACGGCUAACUACGUG
rnacentral:rRNA from 1 species